UACAGAGGGUGCAAGCGUUGUUCGGAAUUAUUGGGCGUAAAGCGCGUGUAGGCGGCAUGGCAAGUCGGGUGUGAAAGCCCUCAGCUUAACUGAGGAAGUGCGCCCGAAACUGCUGUGCUUGAGUGCUGGAGAGGGUCGCGGAAUUCCCCAAGUAGAGGUGAAAUUCGUAGAUAUGGGGAGGAACACCGGUGGCGAAGGCGGCGACCUGGACAGUAACUGACGCUGAGACGCGAAAGCGUGGGGAGCAAACAGG
rnacentral:rRNA from 2 species